rnacentral:rRNA from 1 species
ACACGACUACAUUAGAUACCCGCGUAGUCCUGCCGUAAACGAUACUCGCUAGGUGUCGGCCACGGUGCGACCGUUGUCGGUGCCGUAGGGAAGCCAUGAAGCGAGCCACCUGGGAAGUACGGCCGCAAGGCUGAAAACUUAAAGGAAUUGGCGGGGGAGCACCACAACGGGUGGAGCUUGCGGUUUAAUUGGAUUCAACGCCGGAAAUCUUACCGGGACCGACAGCAACAUGAAGGCCAGGCUGAAGACUUUGCCGGAUUAGCUG